AACUAAAAGAAAUUAUUUACAAAAAUUAAUUCUACAAAUUCAAAUAAAUUACCUCCCCGAAAACGGCGUCAAAAACUUGUUGUGCAAAUUUUAUUGAACUUGCAAGCGCACGAAUUUAUUAUAGAAUAGAUUAAUGGUGACGAGUGUCGAUCUCACGAGGAGGUGGAUUUUAAUUGUGUGUAGAAUUAAUUUUCUAAAUGGGUGGAUAGUUUUGUGGUGAAAAUGAUUUGGAGUAUUCUAAAAUUUAAAUGGGAAUGGCGGAAUUAAAUUAAAGUGAAAACUAUUAUAAUUGAAGCGCUUGGGUAUCUGGAUCUGCAUCAACAUGCUCCAUGGGCUAAAUAUUCUUUAUUAAUGUCAAUUAAAUCAUGAGGGGGGUAUCCACACCUCAUGAAGCACACUCUAAUCAAUAUGGUGCUAAGGGCUUAUCGUGCCGAAUAAUAAUAACCUUGUACUAGGGAGCUGAUGAAACCAGGAUGGUAUCUAGACAAGAUUAUUACUAUUCGUCAACGAAAAGUCAAAACAUCCACAAUAAUUAGAGGGGAAGAGAAAAUAAAUUUACCAAAUAAAGCCCAUGACACAUGUUGAGACUUCACCUUUAACCCAAGCUUGAAAGAAAAUUAGCUACUCAUAAUUGAAUUAGGGGUAAAAUGAGAAUUUAUUAAAGUACGUACAAAAUACAAGAUGGAGAAGGAAUUACAAAAAAUUGAACUCAAAAAUGAAUUCAAAGAUGCCAAAUUAGGAGGGGAGAGCCCUUUUUUUUAUAGAUACACUGAGUAAAUCAUAGCCAUCGAAUUAAAAACAUUUUAGACGCUCAGGAUUGUGCCACGUUAUCAGUCAACAGUACGUGGUUUAAACAGUACACGAUUUGACCACGCGGUUUGAAUAGUGACGCAGUUUGAACAGUGACGCGGUUUGGUUGUAAAUAUUCACGUGUAUAUGCAUGUACCGUACGCACGAUUUUUGGUCCACUAACAUGCUGCCACGUCACCAAUCAACAGUGCAUAAGAAUUUUGUCCAAUAGAAUCGUGACACCUCAUCAGUCAAUGUCACAUCAUCGGUCAAUGCCACGUCAUCGUUCCGUAUAUGUGAACAGUGUCGUGAACAGUAACACGUAUAGUACCGUAUAUGUGAACAAUGCCAUUUUUCCUUUUAUGCUCCUCUUAAGGUUUUCAACUAUCCUAAGUUCAAAACUGAUGUCUGUUUUGCUGUUUGAUCUCUCAUUCAUUGUGAAAUGACCAUGAUGCCACUAAAAUACAUAAAAUACUUAAUUAAAAUAAAACACACAUAAUUAAAUCACAAGAAGCUUAAAUACAUGAAAGUAAGGAUGUUAGUAAGACUUGAAAUGUAAAAUAACGAUUUUCUCCUUUAUAAAUAUACACUUUCUAACACUCAACAACAGAAAAUAGUGACAUGCAAUGUGCAAAUCAACUAAGAAUGGAUAGAAGGACAUUUGACCUACUAUGUGAGCUACUUCGAUUGAUUGAGAGGCUAAAGGCUAAUGCUUCAUUGACUGUUAAAGAGUAAGUUUGUUUGUUUCUAUACACUUUGUCUCAUCAUGCUAAGAAUCACACAAUUGGUAGUAGGCUUUUUAGAUCUGGUGAGACUGCUAAUAGAUAUCUUAACUUAGUGUUAAAUGGAGUUUUACAACUACAUGAUGAUCUACUAAGGGCACCAGAAUUGAUACUAGAAAAUUACACUGAUGAGCUAUAAAAGUGGUUUAAAGUACAUUAUCAAUUACUUAUAUUUGAUUAUAGUUAUGGAUAAUUUAAUGCUAAUUAAAUUUUCAUUUGUUUUAUGUAUGUAGAAUUUCUUGAGGGCAUUGGAUGGAACUUACAUUAGAGUUUGUGUGCUAGAAAAUGAUAAAACCAAGAUCGAACAAGAAAGGGUAAGAUUGCUACUAGUGUUUUGGGGGUAUGUUUAUAAGACAUGAACAUCUUCGUGAUGCCCAGAAGAGAAAAUUUUACCUAUGAAUCAAGAAUACUUCGCGUAUUAAAUAAACUGACUGGUUUAGAAGUUCCUACGAGUAUUACUCAUUCCAAAAAAUUAAUUUAACCAAAAUACAUAUUUAAAAACAAAAUUAUACUAAUGCUUAUGUUAAAUAAAUAAGUCAUUACUAUCUUAUAAAUGCUGGAUAUACAAAUGUUGAGGGAUUUUUUACAUACUAUAAGGGAAUGGGAUAUCAUUUAUCAUAAUAGAGAGAUAGGUGUGCUUCUUGCAAUAAAGAAGAAUUCUUUAACAUGAAACAUUCAUCACCAAGAAAUAUAAUUGAGCAAUGUUUUGGAUUGCUCAAAAUGCAAUAAGCCAUUCUUUGAAGUCCUUCAUUUUAUCCGAUUAAAACCUAUUGUCGUGUUAUUACUGCAUGCUGUCUAGUGCAUAAUCUGAUUAGGAGAGAAGUGUCAGUGGAUCCAAUUAGGCUUGAAUUAGCUGCUGCUAUGUAUAAUAAUUGGCUUGUAAAUUAGGACUCAUCUAUGGCUAUACUUUUGUUAAAAUGUAGAUGUUAUUAGGAAAGUAACACAAACUAUACUUUUGUUAAUUUAUAGUUGCGUGUCAUUAGGAAAGCAUUUGGGGUUUACUUUUGUUAAUAUGUAGAUAUCAUUAGGAAAGUUUCUAAAAGUGUAAACUUUUAUUUAUAUUUGAUGUUAUUAGAAAUUUAUCGAGGGUUUGUAAUGUGAAUUUAACUUGGUGUUAUAUUUUAGUUACUUGUUUCAAUAAAUUUUACAAUAUCCAUUUUGUAAGAAUGAAGAAUGGAGGUUUAAGCCAUAUUGCUAGAAAUAAGAUAGGCUCAAGAAGAGGAUAGAUAGAAGAUGAAUAAAAAGCAAUAUUGAACAUUUUAGAUGCAGUAAUUGCAAUAGGUGGUUGAGCUAAUAAUGAUAACUUAAAAUCUGGAAGUUACAAGUAUAUUGAAAAUGAAUUAGAAAAACUAUCACCAAUGAGCGAUUUGAAGGCGUACCCAUAUAUAUACUUUAAAAUAAAGAUAUGAAAGAAAAGUUAUGGGGUGAUAUUUGAUAUAUUGAACACUAGCAGUUUUGGAUAAAAUGAUAUGAGAAAACAUGUGGUGGUUAAUAGUGAAGAAGUAUGGAAAUCAUUUGUGGAGGUUAGUAUUUUGAACUUAAAAUAAAGAAAAUGAUUUAUAAACAUAGAAUUUAUCUAACUAUAAGAAAAUGAUUUUCUUUUUAUGUCGUGAUUUAUAAACAUAGUCCUUAAUUUGUUUAUUAUGAAUAUAAUAAAAUUUAUUUAACUAUCUUGUUUUAUUAUUGUAAUCCAAUAAAGAUGCAAACAAUUGCAGGGAUAAGUCAUUUUCAUAUUAAGAAAGGCUAGCAAAUAUAUUUAAGAAGGAUCGUACAAACUAGAAGAUCAACAAAAACUCUAAUUGGUAUGCUAAUGCAAUACUUGAAGAAGAAAUUCAUGAUGAUGACAAUGAGAUUGAUGAUGAAAAUUCUCUGAUAUCUGCUACAUUGCCUUCAAAUUCUCAAUAUACUAUUCAAUCACAUUCACAAUCGUCAUUUAGGAAAAGUCUAAAUUAGAUAAACAUAUGGUAUAGACAAAUUUGAUUUCAUCAUUUCACCAAGCCAAUGCUGACAUGUCUUAGAAUAUGUUUGGAAGAAGCAAAGAUCAUGAUUACAUUGGCAAAAGCUUGCUUCAAUGGGACUUUUUGUGGAUGAUGAGUUUAUUGCCUUUAAAUUUAUUGGUAGAGAAACCUUCACAUAUAAAGUAUUUCAAGAAAUUAUGAAAUGAUUGUGACCGUAAGUUGGUAAAUGUUAGGAUGCAUUUGCGUGGGCAUGAGAAGAGAGGUGGAGUUUGAUUAAAGAGUUAUAACUGACAAUGAUAUUUUGCAUUAGUAUUUUGGCUUGUGGAUGUGUGUAUUUAGAUUACUUAACACAAACCAUUUUGUUGGUGAUUUUGUUACAACUAUUGUUUUACUUUAUUAUUUUGUCACUUUAUUGUAGUAUGUACAAACUUUGAAAGAAUCUUGUAUAUUUUAACUAUUUAUUUAUGCCGUGGUAGUUUUUAGAGGAUAUUUGAUUGAAUUAUUUGCUUCAAUCUUUAUUUCACAGGUUAUAUAUUUGGGAUUGUUGAAAAGAUAAAUGUUAUGCUAUCGAAAUUUUUUAAAAUGUAUUAUUUUUACAUAUGUUUAGUGAAGAAUUA
rnacentral:lncRNA from 1 species